UACGUAGGGUGCGAGCGUUAAUCGGAAUUACUGGGCGUAAAGCGUGCGCAGGCGGUUCUGCAAGUCAGAGGUGAAAUCCCCGGGCUUAACCUGGGAACUGCGUUUGAAACUACGGAGCUAGAGUGCGGCAGAGGGGGGUGGAAUUCCACGUGUAGCAGUGAAAUGCGUAGAUAUGUGGAGGAACACCGAUGGCGAAGGCAGCCCCCUGGGCCGACACUGACGCUCAGGCACGAAAGCGUGGGGAGCAAACAGG
rnacentral:rRNA from 1 species